UACCGUUCACUGCGCGCGCUCUCAUAUCAACACAAAGCUCUGGAGCUGCUCCUGAUAGUGUCCAGUACAAACCAAAACGAGGAUUUCAAGCUUCGCAAGUAGUUUAAAAAUCGGGAAAUGGACCAGAAAGACACAGAAAUGAACGAAAAAGGAGUUUCUUCUUCUACCAGUGGAGUUGUAGUUCAAGUCAGAGAGAAGAAAGGAGCUUUACGCGCUGCCAUCCCCUAUAUGCCUUUCCCAGUAGCUGUCAUCUGCCUGUUCCUCAACACAUUUGUGCCCGGACUGGGUACAUUCAUCUCAGCCUUCACGGUUCUGUGCGGAGCGAGGACAGAUCUUCCCGACAGACACAUGUGCUGCGUUUUCUGGCUGAACAUCGCAGCCGCCUUCAUCCAGAUCGUCACUGCCAUUGUCAUGGUGGGCUGGAUCAUGAGCAUAUUCUGGGGAAUGGACAUGGUCAUUCUUGCAAGGCUGUAGAAGGUGCCAGAAUCCUUUGAACAAUGACUAUUAGAGCGGUCUGCUGGUAGGAGUGGAUUGAAAGCCCUGCAGUAAUUGUUCUGUGUAGGCGGACGAAGCAAAUCACAGAACUUCGUCACAUGUUUUUACUGUGGAAUGUUCAUACUGUCAUUGAACAUUUAAACAUAUUAUUUAAAAUUCUAAUCAUUUAUUUAUUUAUUUAUUUCGCUAUUUUACAACCUUUUGGAUCAAAAGUUUCUGAAGGCUACAGGGAGCAGGCCGCCCCUCAGCAGCUCUGACUGCCGUCAUCCAAACCUAAUCCUGAAUGUGCGCCUUUCUCCCGUGCUGUCUGGCCAACACGUAUGGGAGCUUUGAGAUGACCCCACGUGGCCUGGGAGAUCCAGGGGUUGAUCACAUGAUUCUCAGCCCAACUCCUGCUACUUCCUGUCAGGUACUGCGUCAAGGGCACCUGACUGUUGAGGGACAGCAGAAGAGCAUGAACAUUCUGUCAAUAUCACUAAAAAUUGUCCAAACGUGCGAACCGUCUAUGUGCCGAACACAUCCUAUACCUGUCAGGGAAAAUCGAUCUUAAUCAUACUCUACUCUGUAGUCUUAAUGUAUUAAGCUGACCAAUAUACACUAUGGACAUUUGAGUUUGUAAAAUAACUAUAUUUGUUAAAAAGCUUUGAGGUAUCUGAUGAAGUAGCUGAAAGAACCUGCAUUAUUUACUCGCCCUCAUGCCUCUUCAUUUUUGGGUGAACUACUCCUAUUUUGUUUCCCACAGAGGACUAUGAAUACAUAUUACGCUGUAUAUUUAAAUGUCAUGUGCAUUACAGUGUCUCCAGUAUUUCUUUAUAGUGUGCUGUGUUUUUAUUACUCAUAUUAAGCCUUAUAAAAGAGAAAGUGUGUAUUUAUGUGAAUUUAUAAAACAUACUGUACAUUGUAUUCUGCAAAAAAAUACAUCACCUGUUAUUGUUAAUCUCUAUUAGUCUUAAAUACCCAGAGACCAUCAGCCAAAAACAUAACCUUUUUGCCCAGUAAUUAUCUGUUGUUGAGUAAAACAGCCAAGUAUUGGUGAAUCAUGGUAGGCUAGUUGCCAUAGUGACUGGCCACUUUAAUCAACCCAUGCAUAGGGUAUGAAAUAAUGUAAUUAAGUGCAAGUUAUUUUUAUGUGACUGAUAAAGAGUAAGCCAUGGAGAACAGUAAAAACACUAUGAUUUAAGACUGACAUUAAAAAAAUGAACCACCAAUUGCAAAUGACUGCAGCAACUGAGUAAGCAGAAUUUGUGCUCUUGCUGAGUGAGUGUGCAAUAUAUUUGGAAAAAUUCAAGCCCAGAUAUGAGGUACUCUGAACUGGUUUCUAAUAUUUAACUCACACUGAAGAUUUUUAAAUCUGGUUGAGUCUCUUUUUUGGAUGUUAUUAAUGGAUAUUUGCUGGUCUCUGGUGUGAAUGUGUGCUGUGAAUUUGUUGUAAAUAUGGACAAAAAGUGAAAUAGUCAUGUAAAUUUGUGUGCUGUUGUGUUAAGUGCUGCCUUUUAAAUACAAACAACAUAAUCCAGUGCUAAGUCCAAAGGCAUAAAUAUAGUACAGACAAACAUAUGUUACUAAGCAGAUUUACACAAUGAUGCUGUCACUACUCCAGAAAUGUCAGAGGUGCCAUAUCCAAUAAAUUGUGCUUUCAAAAAGUGA